ACUGCUUCCUGCUAACGCACAUCUGAGUAGUAGCAGGUGACGGCUCCAGGUACUUGGGUCCCCGACACUCAUCUGGGAAACUCAGAUGGACCUCCAGCUCCUGCCUUUGGUCUGGUGCAAUCCAGCUGUUUUGGGCACUUGAGAAGUGAAUUAGGGGAUGGGAGAUCUCUAUCUGUCUCACUGUCUCUCUCUCUCUGCCUUUCGUAUAAAAAAAAAAGGCCUCAUUUUCAAUUUGAACUGCAAACAACUCCACAUUAAAAAUGAAAAGGUUCAUAGCCCACAAGAGCUACAUCAGCCUGGUGCAAGCUGCGACCUCAAGCCUCCAUAGUCAUUCUUUCUCUGAAUGGGCAGGCCCUGACUAUUACCUUGCUCUGCCCACUUAAUUUUUGCAAAGAAAAUUUCACAUGUAGCAGCCAGUUCCCUGAAGUGAAGAUUUCCUUAUGACUUUCACAGUGCCAGUUAAGUAAGAUAUCCACAUAUCUUUGUUAACAGCCACUUAACAACUUUGCAUCAUUUAAAAUGCCAGGCCAAUGAGCUGACGGUGGCCCUAGAAGGUGGCCCUAGAAGAUAACAGCAUUCAGGCGGGGGCCAGAAAUUGAUACUUCCAGUCAUUCUUGGUGGUUUGCCUGCACCGACUUUGUGAGCCAGCUCAUGAUCUCAGGAUGUAUGAAAAAAUAACAAUUGCACUACUAUUGUUCGGUGUUGUUUCCACACAGCUCAGAACACCUGUCAAAGCUCUCAACGAAACAGAACGUGGAAAUGGCAAUGGUUCUGUAGAAAAGCCAGAUGUUGUUUCCACACAGCUCAGAACACCUGUCAAAGCUCUCAACGAAACAGAACGUGGAAAUGGCAAUGGUUCUGUAGAAAAGCCAGGUUUGUUUUUAUUCUUGUAUGGUUUCUCUGGAGUCCCUUUUGGAACACCACUGUAUUGAAUGGGACCUGCCAUUGUAUGGACACUGUGACAAACAAGAAAUGGAAGCUGAGUUGAUGGUCCCUACUGCAGGACAAUGCUCACUUCUGAGAUAUCUCACAGAAAUAAUCCUAUGGUUAAGGAAAACAAAAUAAUCUAAGGGAGCACAGAAGGAAUGAAUGAAAUGGUGACCUGAUGAAGGGGUCCCAUAAUGCAGUGAUGGAUGAAGAGGACCAGUGGGAAAAUCCAGAUGGGCUCAGGGCUGGGCUGGUCCUGUGCCAGCUACUGACCCAGGGGUGAACUCCCUGUCUAAAUUUCAAAGUGGGACCAGUAAUCCUUGCCUUGCAGUGUUUCUCUAAAGAUUGAAUAAGACGAUGUAUGCAUAAGUGUUAAGCUCAGAGCCUGACAUAGCAUCAGUCCCUCAUAGAUGAUAUCUGUAAGCCAAGCUGUGUGCUGAGAUCAGCAUGGUCAGAGAGUGUUCACUCCCUCUCAUUAUUUUUCUAGGGAGAACAUGGCUUUAUAGUAGAAAGGGCAGGGGGAUCUUCUCUAUGUGGGAUUCAAGAAGGAUACCCCAGAUUUAAAAUACAACCUGAAAGAAGACUUAGAGAGGCCACAGGACCACAAGCUAAUAGAAUUGUUGAGCAAAUGCACAGAGACCAACGGAGGCAAUGGGUUUUAAGUAGAACAAAAGCCAAGGGAGGGAAAUUGGGAUGACAUUAGAGAAAUCAGAAGUAGUUAUUAAGCUCCUGGGUCCAGUUAGACAACUUCACUUUCAAAUGAUUUCCAAGUGAAGCCAACGUGAUGGUGUGAUAUGGGAAGCACUGAAGGGCUACAUGCCCGGUGUCCUAUAAAUGAUGACUGCAUGGUGGGGCAUUGCACUGAGUGUUUACAUGUGUGACCUAAUCUCAUCCUCAUGAGAACCCAUAACAAGUCAGGGGCAUCCUCACGACUGAAACUCCACCUUUUUUUCCCAAGCCCUUUAAAUGAGGGUAUUUCCAAAAAUUCAUAGAAAAUAGAAUUAAAAUAUAGGUUUUUUUGUUGCAAAAUUUUUGAAAUCCAUUCCUAGUUUCUUCAUUGUAUUCACUUUCAUGAACUUUUUGAAGACUCCUCACACUAACUACCAGCAUUGACUGUAUAUUACAGUAUGUGCUUGUGGGUGAUCCUGUGAGGUUGCCUGCCCUGACCAUGCAAGAUCUUGAGAGGGCAUGGCGCGCUGUGCCCUCUGGGAGAGACCCCCCCCCCACCAGCCUGGCUGCUGGCUGGCAGUGGGAGCCCCAGGCACAUUUCUCCCCACCCCCAGCAAGCAGGUAAACUGCUUCUAGGUGUGGCCAGGCCACCUGGAAAGCCAUCCUAGCUAUGUGACCUUCAAAUGAUUGGGCACGCAUAGCAGUGCCAAUAUCAGCUUCAACCUAUGGAAUUAGUAUUGUCCUCAAUUAGUUAGGCUCCCUCUGUCUGCUCUCUGCUUGGUCGUUAAUAAAGCAGACAUGUUCACCGAACCCUGUCCCUGG
rnacentral:lncRNA from 1 species